rnacentral:rRNA from 1 species
GAUGAACGCUGGCGGCGUGCCUAAUACAUGCAAGUCGAGCGAACGGACGAGAAGCUUGCUUUUCUGAUGUUAGCGGCGGACGGGUGAGUAACACGUGGAUAACCUACUUAUAAGACUGGGAUAACUUCGGGAAACCGGAGCUAAUACCGGAUAAUAUUUUGAACCGCAUGGUUCAAAAGUGAAAGACGGUCUUGCUGUCACUUAUAGAUGGAUCCGCGCUGCAUUAGCUAGUUGGUAAGGUAACGGCUUACCAAGGCAACGAUGCAUAGCCGACCUGAGAGGGUGAUCGGCCACACUGGAACUGAGACACGGUCCAGACUCCUACGGGAGGCAGCAGUAGGGAAUCUUCCGCAAUGGGCGAAAGCCUGACGGAGCAACGCCGCGUGAGUGAUGAAGGUCUUCGGAUCGUAAAACUCUGUUAUUAGGGAAGAACAUAUGUGUAAGUAACUGUGCACAUCUUGACGGUACCUAAUCAGAAAGCCACGGCUAACUACGUG